rnacentral:rRNA from 1 species
UACAGAGGGUGCAAGCGUUGUUCGGAAUUAUUGGGCAUAAAGCGCGUGUAGGCGGCUUUGCAAGUCGGGUGUGAAAGCCCUCAGCUCAACUGAGGAAGUGCGCCCGAAACUGCAGAGCUUGAGUGCCGGAGAGGGUGGCGGAAUUCCCCAAGUAGAGGUGAAAUUCGUAGAUAUGGGGAGGAACACCCGUGGCGAAAGCGGCUCUCUGGAACGGUACUGACGCUGAGACGCGAAAGCGUGGGGAGCGAACAGG